rnacentral:rRNA from 1 species
UGAGGAACAUGACCUUCGGCGGGGGAUAGCCGGCCCAACGGCCGGGUAAUACCGCAUACGACCACAUGGGGACAUCCCUGAGUGGUGAAAGCAGCAAUGCGCCGAUGGAGUGCCUCGCGGCCUAUCAGCUAGUUGGUGAGGUAACGGCUCACCAAGGCGACGACGGGUAGCUGGUCUGAGAGGAUGAUCAGCCACACGUGGGACUGAGACACGCCCAGACCUCCG